GGCGACAUGGCCGAGUGGUCUAAGGCGCCGUCUUAAGGAACUCUCCUUCAUUGUGCUUGAUGCAGGCGAGUAAUCCGGCGGUCUUCGGGCGUGGGUUCGAAUCCCACUGUCGUCA
rfam:Puccinia sorghi strain RO10H11247 Scaffold_45, whole genome shotgun sequence.